rnacentral:rRNA from 1 species
UACGGAGGGAGCUAGCGUUGUUCGGAAUUACUGGGCGUAAAGCGCACGUAGGCGGCUAUUCAAGUCAGAGGUGAAAGCCCGGGGCUCAACCCCGGAACUGCCUUUGAAACUAGGUAGCUAGAAUCUUGGAGAGGUCAGUGGAAUUCCGAGUGUAGAGGUGAAAUUCGUAGAUAUUCGGAAGAACACCAGUGGCGAAGGCGACUGACUGGACAAGUAUUGACGCUGAGGUGCGAAAGCGUGGGGAGCGAACAGG